GAAGACAAAGGAGAAUGUGUCGAGUUGUUAAGUUUAGUUAGUGGAAAGAGUUAACUGUUGAGAGGAAAAAGCAUGUAUAGGGAAAUGUAAAUAGGAAAGGUUUAGGUAAAUGUAAGGCAAGGAAAGGUUAAUUAGGGUACGAAACGCUACGAAAAAGAAGACAAAGAGUUGGUAAGUUAGUUAGUGGAAAGAGUUAGGCGUUGAAAAGAAAAAGCAUGCAUAGGGAAAUGUAAGUAGGGAAGGUUUAGGUAAAUGUAAGGCAAGGAAAGGUACAAUUAGGGUACGAAACGCUACGAAUAGAAAGACAAAGAAGAGGACGAACACUUCCUGGUAUUAAAUUUAGAUAGUGAAGAAAAGUUAAGCGUUGAAAGGCAUAAAAGAAGGAUAAGUUUUUAUUUUUAUUUUCUCACUUUCUCUAAUUCCUUCCUCACUUUCUUCUUCCUCCUCCCUUGCUAUCAUUCAUUGUUUUCCUAAUUCUUGGGGAGCACAAGGACGUAGGUAAGGUAUAUAAACAGGUAAAGGUUAGGUUAGGAAACACAGGUACAUAGGUAAGAUAUAUAAACACAGGUAAAGGUUAGGUUAGGAAACACAGGUACAUAGGUAAGAUAUAUAAACACAGGUAAAGGUUAGGUUGGGGAGCACAGGUACAUAGGUAAGAUAUAUAAACACAGGUAAAGGUUAGGUUGGGGAGCACAGGUACAUAGGUAAGAUAUAUAAACACAGGUAAAGGUUAGGUUGGGGAGCACAGGUACAUAGGUAAGAUAUAUAAACACAGGUAAAGGUUAGGUUGGGGAGCACAGGUACAUAGGUAAGAUAUAUAAACACAGGUAAAGGUUAGGUUGGGGAGCACAGGUACAUAGGUAAGAUAUAUAAACACAGGUAAAGGUUAGGUUGGGGAGCACAGGUACAUAGGUAAGGUAUAUAAACACAGGUAAAGGUUAGGUUGGGGAGCACAGGUACAUAGGUAAGAUA